AAUUUCGCCACGAAAAUUGGUUCAUCGAACAUUUAAUUAAUGUUUGCUGAUUAAAAGGGAAUCUGGUGAAAAACCAGAACUGUUCCCGCAACUGUAAGCUCAGUUCGCCUAUGGCGAAUGCUUAAAGUCACCUUCAAUGUCACUGUUUGAUCAAAUUAAAUUUAUCAAAUGGGAAGACCGACCUUAAGACGUAAGUCAGGAGACCUGCCAGAUUCAAAACACUAAG
rnacentral:ncRNA from 2 species